rnacentral:rRNA from 1 species
GACGAACCGUGCGAACGUUGUUCGGAAUCACUGGGCGUAAAGGGUGCGUAGGCGGGUCUUUAAGUCAGGGGGGAAAUCCUGGAGCUCAACUCCAGAACUGCCUUUGAUACUGAGGAUCUUGAGUUCGGGAGAGGUGAGUGGAACUGCGAGUGUAGAGGUGAAAUUCGUAGAUAUUCGGAGGAACACCAGUGGCGAAGGCGGCUCACUGGCUCGGUACUGACGCUGAGGUGCGAAAGCGUGGGGAGCAAACAGG